rnacentral:lncRNA from 1 species
ACCACCCCAGCUUUCAACAGUUGCUUGACUUACAUACUGGGAUAACUAAAAUAUGAAAUGUGUGUUUAAGAUACCUUGGAGCUACGAUGGCAUUUUGAUAGUAAAAGCUGUCAGCUACUGCAGGUACAGAACCAAAUAUGUAAGAAACAGCCAACAGAGAGAUUCGGGAGGAAAUAGACUUUGUGAAGAAACACAGCCCUCUGCUGGAAGAAAAGCUGAAUCCAAGGACAAAGCCGUGGAGGAUGUACGAAAAGACAUCUUUCAGAAUAUGGAGACAUCAGAAGCUGUCAAAAAAAGCUAACAAGAUUCAAUUUUUCUUUAGUGCUGAUGUAUGUUUGUCCUAAUGUAUGUAUUUACUUAUGGUAUUUAUUGAUUGUAAUAUUGAUAAUUUUUUUUUACGAUAAUUGCCUAAUGUGGAGGAUGCCAGUCUAAAUAAUCAAAGUAAAACAAAGUUGCAGGUAGCUUAAAAUUGAUUUCUCCUGAACUGGAGGGAUACUGUGUUACUUCAAGUUCAGAAAUGAGGAAUAAUUAUUAUGUUUUCCAUAUAUUUUCUACGAUAUGUUAUAAAUGUAAAGCUAG